UCAACUUAAUGCUGUGCACAUCUGAAAAAAUAUGUAUUAAAAACAUUUCUUUGACUUUAAAUCAGCUUUAAUGAAAAUCGAUGCCAUAGUUUUUUAGUAGAAUGUUUGCAGUGGAGAACUAUUUCCACCCAUAUGUGUGCUUCAUAUUAGUUUUUGUCACACAUUUUUAACAAUGUUUUUAAAAAAUAUGAAUAGCUAACACAGUUUGACUGAUUAAGAUUCACUGACAGAAGGUAGUUUGAUAAAAGGUAAUCUAAGUCCAUACCUCAGCAUCCAGGCCAAAAGAAUUAUUUCUAAUGGCAUCCUUUAAAUGUGCCCUCUCCAAAGCCUCCCAUAGGUCAGCAUCAUUGUGUUCACUAAAUGGAUCGAGAUUAAAUCGCACAGUUCCUAUAAGAAAACGAAUGACAGUUAGAAUGAAACAAGUGUUAAGAUUAAUCACCAAUGUGGCUUCAGCUUGGCUAUGGUUUCUCAAUCAAAUCUCAAGUAUUCUUGGUUAGCAAGCUUUCAAGUGGAAAACAAAAUCAAAACAGAGUAAGAGCAUAAAUCAUCUCAACUCAUCCAAAAGACAGUAUCAGAUGUCAACAUAAGAAAAGAAGUUGAACUAGAAAAAUCCAGUUUUCAGUUUCUCUUGACAGUACCUGAGAAGAGAACUGGUGAUUGGGGUAUGAUACUGAGAAUUUUCCGCAAAUCUGUGAGUCCAAACUUAGCAACGUCACAACCAUCAAUGGUGAUUUCUCCUCUUUCCAGUUCUACAAUACGGAACAGUGCAUUUAGCAUGCUAGAUUUCCCUGCUCCUGUUCUUCCAACUAUUCCUAGCUUUUCACUAGGAGAGACUUCAAAGGACAAAUGAUGUAAGACUGGAGGAAGCUCGGGUCUGUAACGCAGAACAACAUCUCGGAAUUUAAUUGAUCCUGACGAAGGCCAUGCAGGAGGAGGACGAUUGGUCUCGACAAUGGCAGGAGCUUCGGAGGGUAAAUCCAUGUAUGUGCCAACACGCUCAACAGAGUUUAAGCUAUUUUCAGCUCUACUAGCAUGUCUUAGAACAUUACUCAACAGACCAGUGAUGUUCAAAGUAUAACUAAGUAGUAGACCCAUUUCAGAUGCAAAUUCCACAUGAUUUUCUGUUCUUCCAUUCCCCAAAACUGCAAAUGUUGCUAUCAACCAAAUCAUGAUCCCUCCUAGUGUUACCAACCUUAUGGUGAGCCAGUGAUUUGAACUCAUAUUUACCAGAGUAAACCUGAUAUUAUUGUCCAUAGACUUCCCAUUGAUGAUUGCCAUCCAAUCAUAUGCUUUAUAUGCACGAAUACUUGACAAACCAUUUAACGCUUCUCCAAAUUGUGCAUAAACUGGAGACCUGGUAAUGGAAUCCAGACGUUUCACUUCACGGGAUGUGCUCUGUACAAUACAGUACAAGAACAUAGUUAUUAGAGCUUGUAGAUACAAUACUGACAAGAUGAAUUAACUACCAUAAAAAUGUCAAUUCAACAUUAAUGGAUAUAUAUGAUUGCAGAAACAGUGACUCUGAGGAAUUACAAUGAGAUAUUUAAACAACAGGUAAUGGGUAAAAUGUUUUGAUCACGUACAUAGUUGAAGGGUAUGGAUUUCUUUUUCUUGCUGAAGAUCUUUUAAUUGAGCCUACAUGAAUUCUGACAUGAAAAACUUUAGAAUUUAUGUAAUUGCUAUGGUCUAAGGUUAUUCUAAAUUUUAAGAGACAUGCAUGUUUAGCUUAUUUAGGAUCUGAGUGGCGUUAUAUGAGAAGAUAACUCUUACAUGUGGAACUGAUAAAAACAACAAUAAAUUGAUACAUGAAAGAAACCACCUCGUAGAGCAUCCCAACCAAGAUACUAAAGUUACAUUCAUUGCAAAAGGCAUACCAGUUUCCAAACAACAACAACUAGGGAUUUCUCAUCAUACCUGAUAAUAUAGAUAGGCUGAAUAAAACAAGAUCAGAAGUGGCAUAACAGCCCACAAUGAUAUUGUGCUCACAAUGCCUAUCAGCACAAAAGUUGAAAACAGCUGCCAGGCUUGGUUUAGAAAAUUGUUGGCAAUAUUGGCCACGUUACGAUCUAUUUCACCUAGAUCCUUCGCAAACCUAUUGAUUAUUCUCCCAGAUGGGUUAGUGUGGAAAAAUAGCAUGGGAGCUCGUAGGAUAGAGUCUAGCAUGGCAUCAUGAAGUCUUUUGGCUGCAUGAAGACUUGAACUGAUUAACCAAUAAGAGUUCACUAGAGUCACAAUCACCUGAACCAGAAAUAUGAAGUAAGACUCUAAUGACCAUAGCAAUUACAUAAAUUCUAAAGUUUCUUCCUCACUGCUUCUCUUUUUUGUUUCAACAUCUGUUAUUCUAUGUUAAAAAACAACUGCAAAUGAAAGAAAGUAGAAUGGAUUAAGCUAUUUCUUUCUUUUUCCUGCUAAAAGCUUACAAAUAUUGCGACUCUAAGAUAUUGAUGCCAACUGUGGCUGUGAACAAACCUGACCAAAUGAUAGAAGUGCAUACACGAAAAUGUAGUAUCCUGGCUUAUAACUCUCCAAAGUACUUUGAUUAGUCCAAACACUCAACCAUGUACUUCUUGAAACUCGAAGAACUUCAGUUAAUAAGUAGCACAAAAAGAUUAUUAAAACCACCAAUAUGCCUCCUAAUGCAUUGUUAUACCUGCAAAUGGACAUAAAAAUGUCAAGUACGAGAGCAACAAAAUUCUCUUCGAAUGUUUCAUGUUUAUGACUAGCAUAAAUGCUAUUGAAAAACUAGGAAAUAUUAAAGUAUUCACGUUACAGAAUGGCCAUUAGUUGAAAAAAUGUUUCUACCACUGGUUUUAAGUGCUUGCUGGAGAGCUUAAAACUACAAAGACACUGUAUAACAUGGGAACAUCUGCAGUAAGUAGUUGGUAUCCAAUGGGCAUUAAAUGGUUUUGCAUCCAAAAUACGUGCAUUUGAGCAUCGCUAGUCUUCAGGAUAUCCAGAGCUACCUUGGCCACAAUUGUGGUACAACAGUUAAAGACUACGAAAUAUGUUUUCAACUUUGACCCGCAUUGAAAUUUUCUUAGUAGACCAAAGAGGUUUACCCAUGAACUUGGUUUGCACGCUUCGCUGCUGUGAGCAUCAUAUAAAAAUCUGUUGAAUGUAUUCAGAAAAGGGUCUCUAUCCUAAGGCAUUGUUCAGAAAUUGCGCAAACAAUCAAAGAAAUAAAAUAUAGCAAGAAUCUUAAAUAAGCCCCCUAAAUUACCUAAUCAAAACAUUCCAACUGACAACACCUGUUUCACGUUCUUCUUGCUUGAUAAGUACAGAUUUCCCUCCUUUCACUUUCAUCUUGUAACCUGCUUUUUGUGGCAAAUCAUUUCCCCCAUUAGCUGCUGGUUUUAAGCUUUUGCAGUCCAAAUUUUCACUGUUCUUUUCUUCCACUAGCUCUUCCAUUUUCCCUGCAUUUUCCAUCAGCUUCUGGAACAGCUUGCCAUUUUCAGAGAGUUCCUCAAAGGUUCCCUCCUCUUUAAUCAUACCUUCACUGAGAAGAAUAAUUUUAUCCACUUGUGGAAGAAAAUGUAGCUGGUUGGUGACAAGAACCCUGGUUUUUCCUUGCAACUCGUCCUUAAUACAACUGUUGAAGACCUGUAAAUUUGAGAUUAGGCUAAUAUUUAGCUUAAACAGAAGCUUUUUAAGCUUACUUUUAGAGCUUCGAUGUGUAAAGCUAGCGAUUGUCAAAGUCAUGAAACACUAAGUAAUAUGAAAAAAGAAACAGAGAGAGAUUCCCUCGAACUCAUAACUUGGUCUUCAAGGAAUAGCAUCGUUGGAAUAAAGUUAUUGAAUGUUCACUUUGUAUAAAGAAAGCUUAAGAAUAAAGAGCUGCUCAUCACCGUGAACCAUAUCAAGCUCGCUAUAAGAUAGAGCACAAGUAGCACUAGUGAUCAAAUUAACUUUAAUGUGAGCUUAUAGUAUUUAACAUGACCCGGUACCUGUCGACCAACAUGAGCAUCUAAAGCGCUUAAAGGGUCAUCGAAUAUGUAUACAUCUGAAUUGGAGUAGACAGCCCUAGCCAUGGAAACUCUUUGCUUCUGCCCUCCACUAAUAUUGACUCCUCUUUCACCUAUCUCAGUGAGGUCAUGGCCCUGAACAAACAAUUAUGAGGUAAUCUUCUAAGACAUAUUUCAAACAAAACAGAAGAAUCAAGAGAGAGAAGAAAGGGAUGCACUUAACUGGAAGCAAGUCGAGAUCAUGUUGUAAUGCAGUUACAUCAAUAGCUUUCCAAUAGCGUGAAGGUUCAUAUUCUGACCUAAAUAAUAUGUUGUCACGCACCUGUAAGAACAGAUUUUCAAUGUCAAGAAUGUGCACAACAUUAAUGCAAAGCCUGAGAAGAUCCAUGAAACUUGGCUUUGAAGCACAGAAGCACUACAAAGAUACAAAAUAAAUGAUAAUUAUGUCAGAGACCAAAAUUAAUUAACAAAGAAGAAACUAAGCUGUAACUCACAGUAGCAUUGAAGAUCCAUGAAACUUGAGGAACAUAUGCAACAGUCCCUCUUAUAACUACACUUGCAUCUUCCAUAGGAGGCAGUUCUCCAAGCAUUGCUGAUAUAAGAGAUGUUUUUCCUUCUCCAGUCCCGCCAACAAUUGCAACUAAGCUGCCAACUUGUAUUUUUAAAUUGAUAUCUGACAACGUUGGCUUUUCUAGCUGGAAAAGGCAUGCGAUUCUAAGAUUUCUUGAAUAAGAAGCAUGUCUGAGCGUUAAAAUCAAUAAGUAGACCACAAAAAAUAACGUGGUGUUUAUUUGCCACCACACUUCCUAACAAUGUUUCUAGUAUAAUUCCUAAUUUAACUAUGUUUAGAAUACAAAAUUCCAAUCAAGUGCAAAUACAAAAAUUCCAAAUAAAUAUCAAAUCCAACUUCCAUCAAACCACAAGACCAAUUUCUUAGAUGCUUAAGAUUUAGAAGUUAACCUUUGAAUCCCAUAAAAAGUUCCCAUUUUCAAUUGAGAUAGCUGGAAUUCCAAGUUUAAGAGGCAGAUUUGGUGCUAAAAUUCUCUCUUCAGCUAAAAACAGUUCCUCCAAGCGUUGCAAUGAUAUAUUUGCAUUUACAACCUACAGAACAAGUUAAAGUUAGACACCUAUGAAAGAAUACAGCCAAUAUGAGUAAUCAUACAGCACGCAAGGUAAGCUAAUUAGCUCUUGACUAAAUAACAUGAAUUUUAUUGUAAGCACAUAAUACAGCCACAGAUUCAUUGAAGAACAUGAUAAUGUUUUCUUGAGAUAGAAUUGUGCAAGAAAAUAAAGCUACUAAUUUUUUCAUUCAAAAAAGUUCUUUAUAUCUCUCCAGCAAAGUUUUGGUGUAAUUAUAAAUAUUUUGGUAUGAACAUUUUUUUUGGGAUUUUGUCAGUAGAAAAGUAUUUUGUAGGAUUUUUUGAUAGACGACUGCUUUACAAGGGUUUUUAGUACCAAUCCUCGCAUAUUAAAAAAAAACAACAGGUUUUAGAUAAAGGAUCAAAUUCAUGCUUUUUAGGAAAAACUUGUAUUUCAGAUCAUUUAUCUUUUUUUCAAAACAGCCAACCGCACUAGCAAACACAAAUCUGGUAUGUGACAUGAAACAUGAAGAAUUAUGACAAGAAUGCAAGGACUUUUUUUUUUUUUUUUUGGUGGGGGGCUCAGUUUGCAUCAAAGGCAAUGCUGACAUUAUCAACAAAACUUGUAUAUUAUCAAGUAUAAUUAGUGAAAUAGAAAAAAUAACAGAACCUGGCUUAGUAAGUUAGGAAGCAUGUUUAGAGGAGAUCUUAAGACUUGAAACAGAGAGAGUGACGUAAAUGCCCUUGCAGGUGUCAAAUCUCCGCCAAGCAAGGUGAACGUGCCGAAUGAAACCAGUGUCACAAUAACUGGGAUGAUGUUCAGUAUAAAACUAUUGAACUGCAAUAGAAGGGAAAUAGUCAUUCAAUGCACAUGUAAGGUUCUCGUACAUUUAACACCAGCAACACGUAAAGAUUGCAGUACUCUGGUUAGUAUUGCAUUUGCAUAUAGAGGAUCAAGAUCACUUGUGCAACAAAAUAAGCGACAAAUCAUGCCCUUUCAAGUGAUUAGUUAUAGUGUCUCCAUGAUCAUUAUAAUUCUACCAAAUUAGAUUAACUGAUAUGCUUAUUUACACAUUAGAGGAGCAACUCAUUAUAAUUAUACCAGAUUAGAUUAAAUGAUUAUCAUAUUUACAAAUUAGAGCAAAAUAAAUGAUAAAAUACAUGUCAGAAGCAUUGUCUGGAGAUAGAUUUUUACAUUAUAUAUAUGGAUACUUGUUCUCUAUCGGAAUGUAGUUGCAUACUCAAUCAAUUAGUCAAAAUUUAAGUGCACAAGCCUCUCUCUCUCUCUCUCUAUUUUUAUUUUGACUGAGGUGCACAUACUUAUCAUAACACAUAGGUAUACAUGACUCCACAUGACUCCAUAGGUGGUGGGAUGUAGGAUAUGAUAGAAAUUUUGACAACUGUUUCUUCUCAAGACAAAUCAUACUUCACAGUUACAAUUUUCUAGAUUUCAUUAUGAAUAUAAUUUUAAAUGGAAUCAUUGAAGCAUCAUGCUUUUUGCACAUUCUUGGAAGAGAAGGAGCAACAAAAUAACUCAGCAAGAUAUAUAGUUUGUUCCAUACAGCCGAUAGUAAUUGUGCACCGCGAAACCAUGACAACUCAUCAUCCCGCACACUUUGAAUUCUGGAUUGAAAGCUCUUCUCCCAUGCAUAACAUCUGAAAUAUUUCAUUAUAGAGUCAAAACAAUGACUUGAAAUGGCAUGAGACUGAAAAUAUAAGAGCAAUUCUUCUUAAACUUAAACCAUACUUCAUAACAUCCAUGGCAGCUAAGAUUUCAUUCAUGAGGCUAACUCUUUUGUCUGUCCUAUGCAAUCCUUCCUUAGUUAGCUUUCUCAUCUUGCUCAUCAAAAUUGUCUAUCGCACAAAAAGAUUAAAAGGAAUGAAAAUCAACGUGGAUGGAAUGAAAAUGGAUCACUUAACUAAAUUAAUUGCACAAUUCUAUCAAACUACAGAAGUAAUGAUACUUCUAAAAUCUAAUGACUUGAUACAACAACUCUGAGCAUAUAAUAAUUUACCUAUGGAUUUUAACUGAAUUUUGUAACUUGUGCUAGAGUUAGAAAAGGUAACUUCUGAUUCCAUGUUUUGACUCAAAAUAUCUUUUCAAGCACAAAAAGACAUCAACUUGAAGUGAUAUGCAUUGUAAUAUUACCAAACAUAUUAGCAACUUACAAAAUUCACUUGUGGACUUGUUUUACAAUGGAUAAAUUAAAGUAACACCUUGCAAAUUGCAAGUCAAUCUUAAGUACAGGAGAAAUUUUCCUUCCAUAUGCGAGGUGAAACGCUCACAUAUGGAAGGAAGAGGGGCAGAUGUUAUAUCCAAAAUUUAGUUAGGCCCAAUAAAUUUGUUUAAAUGUACGAGAGGCAUGCUAAUUGGAAACUCUCAUAACAAGGAAAACAGUUAUAAGAGAUAAGCAUGUGGACCGAUUUUCCCAACAACUUGGAAGAGAGUGGGGACUAAUGAAGUGUGAUAAUAGCAUGAAUUGACAACAUAGAGCAUUACAAGACAAUGUGGAUGGUCGGAAAAAGAAUGUGGAGCAUUGCAAAGGACGUAGCGGGACAAUAAGGUAUUAAUACAAGCUGAAGUAGAGGAAAAACACAUCAAUCAACAUGUUAAUAACACAACAAUCAACUUGCAAACUACAAACAGCUCUCAGAGAUCUUUAUCCCAAGUUUCAGGACACCUGAAGCUUGUUAUGCUAUAGCUGUAGGCAGUAACACCAUAGGCUGAUAGAUAGAUUUGUAGGUUGAUAGUUUGGUUACUCGGUUCUACUUUGUAAACUAAUAGUGUCUGUAUGCUCUUCAACAAUCUUCUAGUAUUGAAUUCCUACGUGAACAUCAUGUCUGAAGGAAGAGUCCAGGUUUGUAAACAAAAUUUCUCACCAAUGAAAGUAAGUGCCCUUUUUAGUCUUGCGUGUUAUUAAAGUUGCAAUCUCACUUUUUUUACUUUAAUGUUGCUUGAUUCCAAAAUUAGUAGCAUGAGCAUAUUAUUUAUUGCUAUAAAGUCUGGAGAGUAUAGUCAUCAGUUUAGAGAUCAUCUUUAUUACACACACACACAACAAAAAAAAAUCAUGUUGGUGGUACAAAAAUGGUAUAACUGAGCUUUUAGUUUAUGAGGUGUUCGACACCACACCAUUGCUGUUUAUUUUUAAGAGUUGAUGUGGCACAAUUAUAUCGUCAUGGUUCAACCAGCCCGAGUCAGGCAGUUAUGAAGGUUUUUGGGUGAUUCGAUCAAACCGGUUUUCAAUGGUUCUUGUGGGGCAAAUUAUAAGGCAAUCUAUUCCCUCGACCUAGACCAUUCUAGAUCUAGUUUACCUGUUAAACUGGCAGGUCUAGUUUAGUUCUAAUAACACUAGUACACCCAACAUACCAACAAGCCAUUCAAGAAUAUUCUAGUGUGCCUACAUAACUUGGAAGCUAAGCCAUCUAUUCACACCUUAAAUAGACCUUGCUAUAUGAGGAGACCCUAAUGCACACAAAACAGCUACUCUAUAAGUUAUGAGCACAUCAAUUAACAUUUUGGAGUGCUUGAAAAUUUUAUUUUUAUUGAUAUUAAAUAAAUUAUGAUUGAUCUGAAUAACGUGAAAAGAGCAAUACAGUUGACCCCAACCAGUUUGAGAUUGAGGGACACUUGUUUGUUGUGUCAAUAUUAAAACAAUAUAAAGGAAUAUCACACAGAUUGUAUAUUAUAAAACUAAUUAACUAAGACAAGCAAAUGUUGAUUCUAAGAAUCAAAACACUAAAUUUAGCAAAAGGAAGAAUAUUUCUUACUUGUGUGGGGACCAUGAGAACAAGCAUUAGUGAGCCAAAAAGUGAAGCAACACCUAAUUGUUGGUAAAGAAGAACCAUGGAGAUGGUGAUACGAAAUGGAGCAGACCACAAUCCAUGAAGUUGUUGGCAUAUUUGCUAUGGAAUACAAUGGCAGUGCAUUUUAGACCUUAAUAAACAAUGGGAAAAGAACGAAUAUCGGAGAGGAAAGGUUAAAAUAAAAAUAGGAUAAAUGGCUUGAUGUGUCCAUGUAUAAUUAAAAAGGUCUCCAAUAUUAUCUCUUUUAUCCUUGUAUAGUAUCACAUUCUUUAAUAUGUUCCAUCAAAUUUUGCCAUCUAAAUUGAUAAAAGUGUAUUUUUUUUUUGUUUCAAAAUUACCCUUGAGCAAUUCAAAGAUGUACUAUAAAUAAUUGAGAAUGUAAGGACAUGUUCGAGAUUUCUCCAACUAUAUAACUUGUAAAAUUAAUUUUUCAAUUAGCGAAUUGAUUCAUGAAUUUUAGGGGGGGGGGAGAUAAAGGGAUGUUAGAAAGUCAUGUAAUUUAAAACAACUCAAAACAUGGUAGUUGGUUUUUUUUUUUUGAAUAAUUAUAGUAGUUAUUGAUUAAAAUAUUAAAUGUCCACCUAUGACAAAAUUCUUAUAUUCCUUUUAAAAAUUAAUUAUUUCAUAAUUCAAAACCUAAAAAAAAUGGUUGUCUCCCUCUUCCCUUGGAAAUUCAUUGUUACAUAUAACUCCCAAAGCCAAGAUUCAAGAACAAGCCGAUCACACAAAGGAAGGACAAAAAUGUUGGCCACCUCCCUCCUCCCUAAGUUUUUUAAAAUGAAAAUAUUAAGUUUUUUUUAACAAACUUCAUUUUUAAAAAAUUAAGAAAUCAAAAUAUUUAUAAUGUUUUACAAAUUAAGAAUUAGUUUUUAGGAAAAACUACAGUUCUUGAAAAUGUAUUAAGAAAUAAAAGAAAAUGUGAAAAUUGCUCGAACAUUAAAAAAUCUCACAAUAAAACAAUUAAAAAAAAAGUAAGGACAUGAUAAAGACUUCCCAAUUAUGCAAGGACGGGGUCAUUUGGAUAGGAUAUCAAUAAGUAUUUAUGAUAUACAAAAACUAUUUUAUUGUCACUAUAAUUUCUCUUCAAAUUCAUAUAAUGUAUAAUGUUCCAAGUAGACACUCACUCCAAUGAAUAAUUAAUUCUCUUUUCCCAUGACAUAAGUUACUAAAUGCAUAUUAAUAGUUCUUCAUAAAGAGCAUACCUGAAGUGCAUUGGCAUCUGUUGUGAUCAUAUUUGUUAUCUUACCUGAUGGAAAGUUCUUUCGACCCUCAUGAGUUAAUUUCAAGGAUUUACGAAAUAUAGCAGCCACCUGCAAUUGGAAAAGGCUACGGUAAAAAUAGCUACCUCGUCCAGAAACAACAAAGCAAGAAUUUGGAUUUGGCAAACAACCAAAAUUCGAAAGAAAAAUAAUGUUGAAGGAUAUAUUUCAAAAACAAGUUCACAUACAUCUAAAUAUUGAUAAGAAAAUAGUUUUACCAGAGUUGACCUCAGCUGAAAACCAACACGCAUAACAUUCUGGAAAAACUGAGAUUCACAAAGCGCACCGAACAACUGAACCAUGUAAAUCAACCAAUUAAUCCAAAAACUACAUUCCAUUGGCAAAUAUCCAUAGCAUAAUAAAAUUAGCCAAACAAGAAGAAACACGAUUAGGAGAAUAAUAGGAGUGGCUAGCCACAUAGUCUAGCAACAUUUAGAUACAUGAAGAUUUGCUUGAUUUUAUUUGUCACAAUAUUAAACAUAGUCCAGCCAUACCAUGUAUCUCUUAAACCAACAACUCGUUCCAUUGUGCAAGCAAGAUUGGUUGCUAACAUGGAAAUCUUGGCUUGUUUAAACCCUUAGAUUGGGAGUGAGGGAGAGGGGUACCAUAAAAAUCAGAACUUUGAAAGUUAUCAAAGGUAUCUCAAUCACAUUAUGAAUCCUGUUUUCCUACUUCAUUUACAUUAUUCUGAUUUUGUGACUUCCUGUUUUACAUAGGCUUCCCUGAAUCUAAUGUAGAUUUACCAUCUUAACAUUCGAAAAGAAAGAAAAAGUUCUAUCAUGGUCAAUGAAGUCCUGUAUCUUGAUAUCAAUAAUUAAAUGUGAUAUCAAAGAAAUUUAAAUAUUAAUUAUGACAUCGAGAUUAAUAGUAAUACAGAAAAAGAAGAAUGUAACAACACAUUACAGUGGCUAGUUAUACUAUGUUACAAGGAAAAUUAUGAGUGGUUAAGACUUCUUAAGUUUUUGGACUCGAUGAACAAGUAACAUUACCCUGAUGAUCAUGUGAGCAAGUGAUGCUCGGCUACCAAAGGAGAAAAGAUUGAAAUAAAGCAACAAAAAAUUAUGUAAAUCAAGGAAAAAUGAUCAAGAAAACAAUUAAAAAAACAACGAUAAAGCUAGAAUAAAUAAGUUUAAUGUUUUAAGCGACAAUUGAUAUGAUUUAUUUGAUUGAUUGGUGACAGUUUUGCUACAAAAUAAGCUACACUUCAUAUUUAUAUAAUCACAGUCAUAUAACAAACACUCUAUAGAAGGAAUACAAAUCCUCCAAAACUACUUAAUUUUUAAAUUGAUAACUUUCACAAUCAGUUAGCAUCACUAUCAAUAAUUCCAAAUACAAGUGUAACCUGCAGUUGAACAUUUUACGAGUACUAAAGGCUUCUCAAUUAUCAUUAACAGCAGUUAAAUGCUUAAAACACUGUUCUAUCAACUAGAAAAUCCCCAAAUAAAACGUAACCGAAUAUGUGCAAUUAAAUGAUGAAAUAUGUAAACUGAGUUGCUUGAAUGUUAAUACAUACAAUGGAAUAUAUUAUGUAUGCCAUAAGAUCAAGCUAAGGAAAUAAAACAGAUAACAUCAUACAAACAGUGAAAUUAAACAGAUGAAGGUAGAGAGAAAUGUUUAUACAUAUUCAAUUUGUUUCAUAUAAAAAUGAAAUUGAAAGAAUAGAUGAGUUCGAAUUCAUACCACCCCAAGGAAAAUUAUGAAGGCAUAGAUAUAACCAAUCCAAGCUGGAUCACCUCGUUGCAUUGACUGCAUGUAGUGGAACAAUUACAAAUUUGGCAGCAUAAGCACGAAGUGUAAGAGAUUUGAAUUGUGCUCCAUAUCAAAUUUGAGUUAAUCACUUGAACUAUUUCUAUCAUAGGAAAAAUGCUAUUCAAUAGAGCAAUUAUUGAAGCAUAGAAAAAAUAAUCCUUGACUAAAUGUUGAGAGACAUUUGGUGCAAUCAAGAAAGUACAUGACGGAUUAGCUAUCCCAUUUGACUAUUAUUUACAAGCACAUAAAAAGAAUAUAGAUUAUUAUUAGCAUUAUCAAAAUCCUUCUCUAUGAAAUCUAAAUAAAUUCUUACCAAAUUUGAAACUCUAGCUAACAGCAAAAUGGAUGUCAUGCAUUAUAUAAAACAAGGCAUUAACAAUAAAGAAACAGACCUGCAAGAGGUGGCUCAAUACAAUAGGUCCCACAAAUUGAGAAAGAUCAUUGCCAAUCUACAAGUAAAAAUAAAAAGGUAUAAGCUCCACGUGACUUGUGACAUUAGUAGAGAGUUCCUAAAGUCCACUUUGUUAGGUUUCAGUCUAGAACAUCAGUUUGGAUUGAAAUUGUUACAAUAGAAGAGAGAAAUUAUUGCAUGGUCCAUAACUGAUAAAGGUUGAAACUGAGAGUAUUCCCUACAAUUUAAGAGUUGAGGCCAUUUUGAUAUAUAUUAUGAGUCAAGAGUAAUAAUAUCCCAACAUGCAAUAGGAAAAUAAAACUAAAAAGCUCAAGCUUCCAGGUUCACCAAAUUCAAACUAUAACAUAGAAAAAGUACGGUCGAUAAUUUAUUGAGAAAUUAAACAAGUUAAAGCAAUCCUAGGAACAUGUACCUUAAAAAAUCCUCCCAACCAAAACCUACAGAAAAUGAUGAUAAAAAACGAAUAAAAUGCGAUUAAUACAUAUUGGUAAUAGCAAAAGAAAAUCUUUACUACAAUAAGCUAAACAGUAGAAACAUCUCAUGUAUUGUAAGUAAUUUUACAACACUCCUGAUAUGUUUUUCUGAUUUGAACCCCUAAACUGUAGGAUGUUUUCAUUUGUAUUUCUUCUCUUAGAUUUAUCCAUUUUAGUUUUUAAAUACCAUGUGCACACCAUCUGUUUUUCUCAUAAAUCAUCAAGAAAAGCAUACGAAUUUUAAGGGUUGAUUUCUUGAAGAUAAUUUGAUCAUAAUGUUGUCGGAGGCUGAUUUCUUGAUGAUUUUUUUAAUCAUUUUCUUUAAUGAUUUUGGAAAAUUUUAUAGGAAAACAACUGGAACUCAGAUUCUAAGUGAUGGAUAAAUGGACAUAAUCUAACAUACAGGGUCUAAAUCAAAACACCUUAUAAUUUAAGAGUUGAAAUAAGGGAAAACAAUUGUUCAAGGGUCUCAAUCAAACAAAAAACAUAUAAUUCAGGAGGUUUUACGAAGGAUAAAGCCACCAUUUGGUAUGUUUAAAGUCCAAUAAGUAUCAAAAUGAAAGGGAAUGAAACAACAUGAGACUUGCAAUUCAACCAAUACCUUCCCCCAAGACUAUUGUUUAGUGCUCUUAAGAGACGUGGCUGUGGCCUUUUAGAUUCUUCAACCCAACAAGUCUGGAACCUGCAAUAGCUGAAAACAUUUACGAAAAAAGGGAUACAAGGUUUCCCUUAAACUAUGAAAGAGAAGAACGUGGUGCAUACUUUUUUAUCAAUGUCUCAGUCUGGUCCCAUGUGUCUAACUUCCAAACAUCCUUUUCAGUAAUAGGUCUUUUAUGGCCUUGCUUCAUGAGUGGAGUCAACCAUCCAAAAAAUAUUCCUUGCAGAGGGAAAUGAAUCAAUAUAUCUAUAAGCAUUUAAAAAAUUAAUGACUAACCAGCUUAGCUAUCACUGAAACCACACUUUUGAUCUCUAGCCAACAUGCAGUUCAUUACUUUUUCUAUCUUAAGCAACCGCUUGAGAAAUAGAAGCAAGAAUUUUGACAUCUCUUGGCAUUGAGAACAGUGAAUAAUGAACUACUUACUAGAAAAUAAGUUGGCGUGCCUCUCAGGACAUAUUUGCUCUCUUCCAGGAAGUGCUUCAUAUUCACAAUUAUCAAGAGACUCAGAUUCCAUCAUAACAUAAUCUGGAUAAGGAUCCAAAUUGGGAAUAUAAACAAGUAGAAGAAUGCCAAGCAAAACCUGCAACAAAAGUAGCCACAUGGCAAAAUAUGACUGAGGUGUUUGUCAUUUUUGGGAAUGAUUAAGAAUUUGGUAAAGCUAACGAAACAAAAUUGAACUUCUAUGCCAAGAAUUAGUGUUGAUGUCAUCGGUGUAUUCUAAACAACUCAAUCGUUUUGGUAUCAAUCUGUAACAUCCAAGAUGUUGUGGUGGCCUGUGGAAAAAAAGUGGAUUCUAUCAAGGCUUAAGAACCUGCCAGGCAGUUCGAGAAAGAAACUGUAUCUAUUGGCUGUUUAGCAUCAGGAUAAAAGCCUAGAGGUUCCAACAGGCUCCAUCCUAUGAUCUAAAGAUGCCAAUAUCCAUGGCAUUGUCCACUCCCCACCUUUACCAACUUAAGAAAAUCCCAACAAAGAUAUGUUAAUGAGUAUCAAAACAUCCAAAACAAAGCAGCUUUCAUGUCAUUCUCACAAAACUUUAAAAAUUCUCCCUGGAAUGUUGUUGUUAGGUGCUUAAUUUAAAAAUGUUGUUGAUUUGGUUUAUAAGGCCAAGCCAGGCUAGGCUCAAGUUGUAAUGUCUUCCAAGGCCAUGGCAAGUGACUUCAGUUUUGAUAGACUGAAGCAGAGUCAAAAUUUGUACAAAAACAGCUAGAGAUGUCCACCUUAGCAUAAGCAUUUACCAACCCUGAUUGAAGACCAUUGAAUGGAUGAUAGGUCAAAGUAGCAUGAAGAAAGAUGAGAAAAUUAGAAGAGCUGAUAUACCCUAUAAUCUUUAUAUUAUAGAGAAAUAAAAGGCCACAAACCUGGCAGAAAACCGUGCUGAUAUACAUAUACAAUGUAAAUCUGCAUUCGCAAAAGAACUGUAGUUUAGUGUUGCCUCCAACAUAAAUUGAGAGAAUAUGAACAGCAGAAAAUAAUACUGUUAAUCCUGCAAGCAUCCUUAUCUAGAAUAACCAUGAAAUCUAUAUUAGUCAUGCCCAUCCAACCUCAUUGCAAAUUGCAUUUAUGCGAUAAACUUGCUUCUUGAGGCUUGUAUAGCAGGAUUACCUAUUCUCACCAACAAAUAGUUUAUUUCUGCAAAUGUUUGCACAAUGUCUUGACUUACACGCGGAUUGGAUUGUAUCAGAGUCCACUAACAGAUUGUUCAUUGGAAUUAAAAAUUCAGGAAUUUAAUCCCCACCCCACCCUUCCCUCUCUUUAUAAAUAAGAUGGCAGGACACUACUCCUGUUAAAAAAUUCAGCUUCUAAAAUUUUCCUUUUCAUAUUCUCAAUUGUGAAAAGUUCGGCAGAAGCCCAGAUUGUAAUUAUGGUCAACAUUACUAUCUUUCUAUUUUAUUUCCCCUGAAGGCUACUAUAUAAUUUAGUAUCACUCGUUUUAUCAACUAAGUAAUUACAAUAAUGUUCUCCAGCCAAUAGUACAACAUUGCUAUCUUUUUAUUUGAUGGGGCUGUUGCACAGAAAAAAAAAAAAAAAAAACCUUGCUCACAUUAAAUGGCACUCCAACCUGAUGGAAAAAUACACGAAAAAUAGAACUUGGUUGAGCUAAUUUAUUAAGUCAGGAAAUGGAAGAAUGACUAACCUACUGUAGUAAUCACUCACUGACAGUAUGAGAUUGAGCAUUGCCGCUUCCCCUACCAACACAUAAAUGACUCCAAACCGCACAUACCAUCGAAACUGUCGAAUGUAUAUUUUUGUUUCCAAACCAAUCAUGAUAAGAGUGGAACACCAGGCAAGGGCCUCAACAAUCAAGGAGACCAGCUGCAAAGGACAGAAAAUCUACUAAGAAGCCAGUAAAAUGAUUAUCAGAAGAACAAGUUAAUACAGAUUUUUUUGAAAAACAAAAGAAAAGAAAGACAGCCAGCAAAUGCUGAUUUAGAAAUAUGGUUUAUCUAUGACAGAAACAUUAGAAGUCUAAAUUAACGAGAAAUUAAGUUCAUGUACCUCGAAGGGAGAAAGGGAAGUCUGGCCAUCCAGGUUGAAGAUUGAGACAUCCAUAAACAACCUUAAUAAAGGCUGAACUGUGCAGUAAGCAGCCAAAAAACCCAGCAUGUAAUUAUAGUAAUUUGUCCUGAGACAGUAUUUUUGAACUUUGGUAUUGUUGUCAAUAAUCAACCAUAUUCGAUACAAGCACAGACCAAGAAGAACCAGAUGAGAAAUGCAAAUGACUAGGGAGUCAAUGGCACAGGGAGUGUAAGCACCAAAUGCAUUAUCCACUUCUUUUGCCCAAACCCCAUUUGCCAUAGGUCGACAAUACCAAACCAAUGCCUCCAAACCCAUCUUCCCACCUCCCUACGCAAACCAAAACUGCUUGUUUUACCUACAGUUGAUCAAACAGAGAGAGGAAAACAGAAGAAAAACAUAACAAAAUGAGUAACAGAGAACACAUCGCUAAGAAGAACAGUAAGUACAAAUAGUACUGAAAGAAAUCUCAAACAUAAACAAGUUUAAAUGAUAGAAUGGUCAACUUGCUUGUUCUGACACUCCUACUGGUCCUUUGCAGAACGAAUGAUAUCUGAGCGUGUUGAUUAACGUCAGAAACAUAAACCAGAGCUAGGAGUGUGGCUUUUUCAUUUUCAGGAUAGUCGCUUAUUGGUUUAAUUUAGUAAGGAGUAUAUAUUAUUAGUAAUAUUCAUGGAAAUACAAACGACAAAUGGAAAUCUAAUUCAAUGGGUUAGGUUUUAAAUUUAAUUUUUAAUGAUUAUAAGUUUGAGUGCUGAUUUAUAUAGUCAUUACUUUUUUAAAAGGUAAAAUUAAUCAUGCUAUAUACAACUUGUCUGAACUCUGAACAUCCAAGUUAAAAAAAAAAAAAUUCCAUAAUAGCAAGCGUCACGGCUUACGUGACUGGCACACCCCUCUUACUCUUAUUCUUAUUUAUGAACGAGUGAGUGAGUAGCAGGAAUCUAUACAACUAAUUUCCAAAGCUGGUGUUGCAUUUGGAAGCAUAUACUUUUACAUUAAUGAAGUCAGUGAUUGUUGUCUUAUAAUUGUAAAUUAAAAUGCCACCUAUGGCGGGGAGGGGAUUUGUAAGCCUCGGAUAAUUUAUUUCCACCCUUAUUUUGUCUCUUCUGUUGCUUGAUCUAGCUGGGUAUAUUUGAAAGUUUGGUUAAAAGUAAAUUACUUUUCAAAAUAAUAUAUUUUCCAAAAGCAUUCUUAGUUACUUUGCUUACAUCUCUAUUCUUAUCCAAUAAUCUGAGACUUUGAGUGUAUAUUGUUUUAUAUUUUUUUUUUUAUUGUUUUGAUAUGAUUGUUAAAAAUAAAUUUUAAAAAAUAAAAAAAUAUAUUAUUUUAAUAUAUAUUUAAAUUAAAAAAUAUUUAUCAUAAGUUUUAACAAUCUCUUAUUAACCCAUAACAAAAGGACUCACCAUUCAAAAGCGACCUUCAAAAUCUAUUGCAAUUUCAUGAAGUAUCAGAAUUAAACUGUGAAGAACAACACUUCGAGAAGUGAUUUAAAAUUUAUUUAGAAGUAUGGUAGUAAUUAUAAUUUAAAUUAUUUUUUGUUAAAAAAUAUAUAAAAAUAAUAUUUUUUUAAUUUUUAAAAAAUAUUUUAAUAUCAAUAUAUUAAAAUGAUUUAAAAAUAAAAAAUAAUAAUUUUAAACAAAAACAAAGAAGAAAUUUAAGAACACUUCGAGAACUGAUUUUUAAAUUUUUAAAAAACAUUGUUUCAAUUGCGUUCUCAAAUAUUAUUUUAAAGUCUAUUACCGGUGUGAUGUAAUUAUACUUUUAAAAAAAUUAUUUUUUAUAUUUUUAAUUAUUUUAAUAUGUUAAUAUUAAAAAUAAAUUUUAAAAAAUAAAAAAAUAUAUUAUUUUAAUAUAUUUUUAAAUAAAAAGUAACUUUACAAUCAACCUAUUAGAACUUUUAUCAAACACAUUAAAGGCACACAAUUUCUUACAGCGACACAACAACAACGAAGAAAAAAUCAUUGAAAGACAAAAACCCCAGUUUAAAACAAGAUUAAAAACUCACCUCCGAGAUCAGGAGGAUACCCAUGGUAAACGUAGCAUGUAUCUUUUUGCUAGCCAGAGCCAAACAGAAGCGAUCAACAUUCAACACAAAGAAUUCCCCCAUGAACUUAGCCAUCUGCAGACUCAACAUGCCACUUUGCCUUUGGGCAACAAAUUCAUGAAAAAGAAGAUAUUUAAGAAAAACGAACAAAGAGUAGUUUAAUCAUGUUAAGGCUUCACCUUAACAAAGCUAAAGAGCUUAAAAAUCGAAGAGAGAAUUAGAAGAAGAAAAGAAAUCGAGGGAGAAAAAUUAACAAUUAACAACUCUGACCAGCUAACCACCGUAACUAUCUGACUUUCAUCACACGCCCUUCUUUAUAUUUACACUUGCGAAAUAAUUUAUUUUUUCAAGAGAAAAAUUUCAUCUUUUUUCCUGCAUCAUCAGAAUACAAAACGAGGAGGUGAAAGAGAGAAGUAGAAACUUGAAGGGUGAUUGAAAGUGUGGUAUCGGUUGUUUUUGAAAUAAUUUUUUAUGUUAAAAUAUAUGUUAAUGAUAUUUUUUUAUUUUUUAAAAAUUAUUUUUAAAAUUAUUUUAUUAAAACAAUUCAAAAUAUAUAAAUUAUAUUAAAUUUUAACAAAAAAUAAAAAUUUAAAUUUUUUAAAAACACGGUCUGUUUGAAUGAACUCUUGAUCGAUCACGUGAUCUUUGGCCAAAACACUUAACUUAUACUACACUUUUUAAAAAUAUAUAUAUAUUUUUUGAAUCAUUUUAUUAUAUACUUCUAACUUAAGAUUAUUUUAACUCCUUUUAUUUAUAAAUUAUCUAUGAAAUAGUUUUUAAAUUAAAACCUAAAGUCGCAUUCCAUGAGCUCAAGAUUAUAAUAAUUACUUGCUUACUAGAGAGAGGUUCCUGGUUUUUAUAACCUUUUUAUAGCUAAUUAGCACAUUGGGUAAAUUUAAAUUUAUUUUUUAAAUUAGUAUAGUUAAAGAAAUAAUUUUCACUCUAAGAUAAAGAUAAUAGUUGUGCAUGUAGCAUGCACAACCUAUAGUUCAUAACAUAUAGUUGUUGCGAAUGUUCUAUCAUUUGAUUUAGUUUAGCUAGGUUUUUUUUUUUUUUUUCAGGGAGUAAUAAUGUAGAUUACCUAGUUAAAAAAUUUUAAUGAAUUUUACUAUAAGUUGUAUAUUUACUACAUGUGUAAUUAUUGUUUAUGAGAUAUAAUGAAAAUUAUUUUCUCAUUGGAAAAUAAUUUUAUCUACAGUGUUAAUGUGCGGAAAAAACUCAUUUUUUUUUUAUCAUCAUCAACUACAAUAACAACAAUAAAGGGUAAAAUUACCCUUAAAAAAUACUUAAAAUAAAUUCUAAUUUCUUCAAAAGAAAUCCUCCUUUCAAUAGGUAGUUAUAAAUACAGUCAAUACAAAAUUGUUAGUGAUAUCUAGUCCUUCUAAAUAAGAGUUUAUAACAUUGUUUAAUUAGAUUACUUUCUGACCGAUACUCCACCAAAGUCGUUGUAGUAUAGUGGUAAGUAUUCCCGCCUGUCACGCGGGUGACCCGGGUUCGAUCCCCGGCAACGGCGCUUGUCUUUUUAAUCUUAAACGCCUCUUCUUGAUUACUUCUAUUAAAGCCUAACGAAGUAAUAAACCUUCGUUGUUAAAAUUGAAUUUAUUAACAACCUAGUUAUAAGAUUUGGUUUGAUUUAAAAUAUCAAUUCAAUAGCCUGUAAACUACACUCAGUUCGGUUUACGUUAAUAAAAAAAAGUCUAUAAUUUUUAUUAAAAUAAUAUUAUUUUUUAUUUUUAAUAAAUCCAAGCUUGGAUAAAUUUACUAAUUUUACAAUUUAAUAUAUUCGCCUCAUAAUUCUUGGUCUUAUAACUAUGAACAAGAAUUAAAAAUUUGUUUGGAUUGUAUAAUUAAUUCAAUCACUUUAUGGCAUCUCUCUCAAAACAGGAAACAUAAACUUUAAAAUUUAGACACUCAUGUCAUGAUGUCAAUUUAAUACAAUAUACAAGCCUUAAAAUUUGUCCAAUUGUUAAAAUUUAUAUUGUACACAUUACUUUAUGUUAUUAAUUAAUUUUAAUUACAAAAAAGAUAAAAAUAAUAAGAUUUAAACUUAUAAUUGCUUGGUCAACAACUUUAAUACCAUAUCAAAUUAUUAUUUCAAUCCAAAAAUCUAAAUUAUUAAAUGAAAUCUUAAAAUAUGAUUUAUAUUAUUAUCUAACCUAUAAUAUAAAAUAGAAGGGUUUACCCUUUAUAUUUUUAUUUUUAUUUUAUACAAAUUUACUUGAUAAAAAACAUGGCAUUAUUGAUAUGAUUUCAUGUUUAAUUUGAUGAAUAUGUUUAUGUAUAUUGUAGAAAAGUGAUUGUUUAAUAAGGAAAUACCUAAUUUUGCUUCUAAAACAAAAAGACAAAGAAGAGACUAAUUAAUUUGUACAGGUGGAAAGACUAAUUAAUCAAAACACUUUGUAUAGGAGGAAACAUUUAUUAAUCAAUAAUAAAUUACUAAGUAUAAAAUCCCUUUACUAAUUACAAAACCUGGAUAAGGUAAUUGGAUGGAAUAUAGUUCAAAAGAAUUCAAAAAAUAAAAAACCCAGACUUUAUAGGUAUUUAGAAAAUAAAAUUAAAAAAAAACUUUUUUUUUUAUAUUCAACGGUAAAGAUAAUCACUCUUAAUCUUUCUAAUCUUAUUAUAAGAAAAAUUAAAACAUGUGGGAAAACAGUAUAGUUUUCUUCAUAAAACACUAUAUAUAUAUAUAUAUAUAUAUAUAUAUAUAUAUAUAUUAACACAUGGUUUUUUUUUCUUUUCCUUUUCCUUUUGUUUUUUUUAUAAUAUUUUUCAAAAUUUCUUUUGUCGAUUCAUUUUUUAAUAUUUGAAAUAGUUAAAAAUUUAAUUUUGUAAUUUUUUUUCUUUUAUUUUGUCUUUCUAUGAAGCUAGCGUGUUUUGCGGAUUUGUCAAAAUAAUCCAAGUUGCCCUAGUUUAUGGAUUUGGUGGGUUUUUUUUAAUUAAACUUGGCUUUUUUAUAGUCUAUUUUUUUUCUCAUAAUGUUAAAAAAAUAAUUUUAGAGAAAAAUCAUGUUAUUAACUUUAUAAAGUAACAAAAUUAAAAGAUGUAGAGGAAACCACUAUUCACCCAACACUGUUUACACUGUAGAUUACAAUAUUAAUCAAUACUGUUUUGCUUUCUUUUUUUAUUUUAUUUUUAUUUUUGAAUUUUUUUAUGAUUUUUUUUUCAAAUAUAUUUUUGUCGAUUUUCAUCUUUUAAAAUUGAGAUUGUUGAGAAUUUAGUUUCGUAAUUUGUUUCUUUUUAUUUUGCCUUUAUACGAGGUAAACAUGGUUUACGAGUUUGUCAAAGUAACCUAAGUUGCUCUAGUUUACGAGUUUGGUGAGUUGUAUUUUUUUUUAACUGAACUUGACUUUUUUUAUAGUCUAUUUUUUCUCAUAUAGUUAAAAAAAUAAUUUUAGAAAAUAGUCAUGUUAUUAAAUUUUAUAAAAUAACAAAAAUUAAAAGGGUGUAAAUAAACCAUGGUAAUCCACAAUAAUCCACAAUCUAUAGUGUUUUCCUAUAGAUUGCCAUAGUGUUUCCUCAUAUAUUUGUUUUUUGAACACAUGGUUUUUUUACCUUCUCCUUUCUUUUUUGUUUUUUUAUAAUUUUUUUCAAAAUUUGUUUUGUUGAUUUCAUUUUUUAAUAUUGAGAUAGUUGAGAAUUUAGUUUUGUAAUUUUUUUAAUUUUGUCUUUCUAUAAAGUUAGCGUGAUUUGCGGAUUUGUCAAAAUAACUCAAGUUGCCUCAGUUUAUGGAUUUAAUGGGUUUUUUAAUUGAACUUGGUAUUUUUAUAGUCUAUUUUUUUAUUCUCAUAACAAAUAAUUUUAGAGAAAAACCAUGCUAUUAAACUUUAUGAAGUAACAAAAAUUAAAGGAUGUGGAGGAAACUAUUGUUCACCCAACACCUAUUGCACUGUGGAUUACAAUAGUAAUCCAUAAUGUUUUGCUUUCUUUUUUUUUUUUGAAUUUUUUUAUGAUUUUUUUUUCAAAUAUACUUUUGUCGAUUUCAUUUUUAAAAAUUGAGAUUGUGGAGAAUUUAGUUUCAUAAUUUGUUUCUUUUUAUUUUGCCUUUAUACGAGGUUAACAUGGUUUACGGGUUUGCCAAGGUAACCUAGGUUGCUCUGGUUUAUGGGUUUGGUGGGUUGUAUUUUUUUUUCCUUUUAUUUUAAUUGAACUUGGCUUUUUUUUAUAGUCUGUUUUUUUUAUAUAAUUAAAAAAAUAUUUUAAAAAAAAAUCAUGUUAUUAAACUUUAUAAAAUAACAAAAAUUAAAAAGGUGUAAAGAAAGUAAGAAACCAUUGUUCAUCCACAUACAUUGAACUAUGAAUAACAAUAGCAAUCCACACUAUUUUGCUUUCUUUCUGUUUUUGAAUUUUUGUUAUAAUUUUUUUUUUAAAUUUGUUUUUGUCGAUUUUAUCUUUUUAAUAUUGGGAUGAUUGAGAAUUUGACUUCAUAAUUUGUUUCUUUAUUUUACCUUUCUAUAAGGUUAGCACGGUUUGCGAGUUUAUCAUAGUAAUACAGGUUGCUCUAAUUUACGAGUUUGGGGUAGUGUUUUUUUAAUUGAAGUUAAUUUUUUCAUCAUCCAUUUUUUUCUCAUAUAGUUAAAAAAAUAGUUUCAGAAGAAAAGUUAUGUUAUUAAACUUUAUAAAGUUCAUGAAUCUAUUCACAUGUUUGGCUAGUUGACUUGGUUCGCGGGUUUGACAAUUUAAUUUUUAAAUUAGUUUUUUUUUCAUCCUUAUAUAAUGUGUUAAUUGAGAAUCCAAUUUUAUAAUUGGUUUUGUUUCCCCUUUUAUGAGGUUAUCGUAAUCUAAACAAACAUCUCGAUAUUGAGUUGACAUUUGAUUUCACAAUCAUUUAUUUUAUUAUCAUAUAAUUAAAUAAAAAAUAGUUUAAAAAAAAAACAAAUUAUAAUCCUAGUGGAGUCCAUAACUUAGUUCACAAGUUUGACAUACUAGCCUAGCUUACCUGAUUUACAGGUUUGAUAAGUUUACCCAUGGAUAAGAUAUGUUUUUUUUUUUGUCUUUUAAUUGUUUUUUAUUUUUUUUAUUUCAUCAUUUAAUAUUAGAUUUGUUGGGAAAUGGAUUGCAUUAUUGAUUUUUAUUUACUUUCUAGGGAUAAUUGUCUCAAAUAAGUGUUUAUUUUUAGGUUGGUGCUCAAUUUUAUGAGUAUUUAUUUUUAUCAUAUAAUUAAAGAAAAAAUAUUUAUAAGAAAAAGUUAUUAAACCCAAUAGAAUCCAUGACCUAGGUAUUAUAAUUCCAUUAGAAUUCAUAACUUAGUUCACAUGUUUGACGUACUGGCUCACCUUACCCAAUUCAUAGGUUUGAUGAGUUUACCCAAUGAUAGGAUAUGUUUUUUUUUGUCUUUUAAUUGUUUUUAGUUUUUUUUAUUUCAUCAUUUAAUAUUGGAUUUAUUAGGAAAUGGACUGCAUUAUUGAUUUUUGUUUGCUUUCUAAAGAUAAUUGUCUCAAAUAAGUAUCUAUUUUUAGGUUGAUGCUCAAAUUUAUGAGUAUUUAUUUUUUUUAAAAUUAUCAUAUUGAAGUUUUUUUAAAAACUAAGUCAUGUUUUUAUUGAUUAUCAAGGUUGCAUUUGAACCUAUGAAAUCGAUUGAUUUAAGUCGAGCUAUCUCUCUCACGGUUUAAUUAAAAACUUGAGUAAGACAAAGAGUUAAGAGUCAGGAGAUUUUAAAAUUAACCCAUUUGAUCAGAUUUAAUAACACUGUUAAAAAAUUCUUUAUACUCUUAAUAUUUUUUCAUAUUUAAAAAAAAAUAGUCUAACUUGUAAUGGAACAAUAUACUAGAUACAAUUAAAAUAUGUGUUUAUGCUACCACUUUUGGAAUCAAGCAAGCAAACUUUAACAACUCACAAGACUUCAAAGAAAAAACUUGUAUUCAUUGAUGAAAAUCAUGCUUCCAAACUGGAACUCUUUCUGCCGUGCCAAUAUCAUGCAGUGGUCCGAAAACCCAUACCAGCUUAGCUCCUCAAGUUCAGAUCAAUGCUAAAUUCCCCUGAUAUGGGAUUGACUGUGAUAACUAAUACAAUAUGGGGGGAUUUCAAUUGUACAUCAAAAGUUUAUGUAGCAGAGGUUCUCUUUACUUUCAGUAGUCCCAUCUGAAAUUUGCUACUGGAUGAUCGCUCAAAAUCGAGUUACCACCUUUCUCUGUUGAGGUGCAGACUAGAGUAGACUCAUUUCUUAGAACAUCAAAUUUCCCAUUGUUCCCUAAAUUUUCAAAUCAUCCCAAUCAAGGGGUUCAUUUUCAUAAUCAUAUUGUUGAUGCCUACCGCGUGACAACCUGCCCAUUACAGCCAAACCUGAAACAAGCCGGCCAUGUUGAAUCAGAAAGUGUAGGCAAAACCACUUAUACCUGAUCGUCAAAAUUCACUAAAAAAUAGAAUAACCACGGUUGUUGUAAUGAAUCAACUUCUACCACAACUACAAUGCUUGUGCACGCAUGCAAGUAAUCACUGAACAUAUGUUUAGUGUAUGCACACAGGAAAAUCUUGGCUGUACCUUCAAUCAUUCUGUAGAAAGCUGACCACCAUCCAUCUUGGGGAACUUGGCUCUGUUGCAGUGUAUCACAUAUCGCUUCAUCAUACUUCCCCACCAGGACAUCCUGCAGCCUUAUAACUGCAUCUUUCGUUUUCCUGAGGAUGUUGUCCUCGUCUCCAACAUCCAACAUUGGAAGACCAUUCUCUGAAGAAGUGAGACUAACAACCAGGGCCAGUUGGGCAGCUGCAGCCCAUCUUGAAGAGUCUAUCCAUCUAUGAUCAUUCUUCCUUUUACUCAACUUAUUCUCUUUACUUUCAAACACCAGGCUAUACAAGUAUUGAGCAUUUGCUGGACCUGUACUUUGAACCAUCCUAGAGAAUGCGCUUCCUUCGUUUGGUAGUAGCAGUUCCUCUGGGGUGCCAUGUUCUAAGACCUGAAAGGUUGAAGAUUCUAACAUGAGUUAAACAAAGGAUCACUACAUGACAUAUUGGAAUCAUAAAAAUUUGUGAAUGAAGUUGGUUAGCAUGAAAAUUCUUGAUGAUCCCUGCUUCUUUCUUUUUUUACAUUAAUUUUUUCAGGAUUGUGUUCAAUAAACUCAGUUUUCCAAGCAAGAAGGAAACAGGGAACAAAUUCCUUGCAAACAUAAUUUGAGAGCAUACCUGACCAGCCUCAAGCACAAGAAUUCUGUCGCAGUCAAUAAUGGUAUUUAGUCUGUGAGCGAUGACUAGCAUUGUGCACGAUCUGAAUUCUUCUCGAAUGGUUUUCUGGAUAAGAGCAUCGGUUCUAACAUCAACAGAAGCAGUAGCUUCAUCAAGAACAAGAAUCUUAGAUCUUCGCAGCAGCGCUCGUGCGAGACUUAGUAGUUGUCUCUGUCCAACACUAAAAUUCUCCCCUCCCUCAAAAACCUUAGACACCAAAACAAAUCAACUUUACAGUUUGCUUUACCUGAUAAUCAACUUAAUGCUGUGCACAUCUUAAAAAGAUAUGUAUUAAAAACAUUUCUUUGACUUAAAUCAGCUUUAAUGAAAAUCGAUGCCAUAGCUUUUUAGUAGAAUGUUUGCAGUGGAGAACUAUUUCCACCCAUAUGUGUGCUUCAUAUUAGUUUUUGUCACACAUUUUUAACAAUGUUUUUAAAAUAUAUGAAUAGCUAACACAGUUUGACUGAUUAAGAUUCACUGACAGAAGGUUGUUUGAUAAAAGGUAAUCUAAGUCCAUACCUCAGCAUCCAGACCAAAAGAAUUAUUUCUAAUGGCAUCCUUUAAAUGUGCCCUCUCCAA
rnacentral:lncRNA from 1 species